GCUGUGAUAUCGCUCCAGCAUAUACUAAAAUUGGAAUGAUACAGAGAAGAUUAGCAUGGCCCCUGUGCAAGGACGACAUGCAAAUAAAAAACAUAAUCAGGAAAUAA